rnacentral:rRNA from 1 species
GACGAACGCUGGCGGCGUGCUUAACACAUGCAAGUCGAACGGAAAGGCCCUGCUUUUGUGGGGUGCUCGAGUGGCGAACGGGUGAGUAACACGUGAGUAACCUGCCCUUGACUUUGGGAUAACUUCAGGAAACUGGGGCUAAUACCGGAUAGGAGCUCCUGCUGCAUGGUGGGGGUUGGAAAGUUUCGGCGGUUGGGGAUGGACUCGCGGCUUAUCAGCUUGUUGGUGGGGUAGUGGCUUACCAAGGCUUUGACGGGUAGCCGGCCUGAGAGGGUGACCGGGCACAUUGGGACUGCGAUACGGCCCAGACUCCUACGGGAGGCAGAAGUGGGGAAUAUUGCACAAUGGGCGGAAGCCUGAUGCAGCAACGUCGCGUGCGGGAUGACGGCCUUCGGGUUGUAAACCGCUUUCGCCUGUGACGAAGCGUGAGUGACGGUAAUGGGUAAAGAAGCACCGGCUAACUACGUG